UACGUAGGGGGCAAGCGUUAUCCGGAUUUACUGGGUGUAAAGGGAGCGUAGACGGUACGCCAAGUCUGAAGUGAAAUGCCGCAGCUUAACUGCGGAACUGCUUUGGAAACUGGCAGGCUGGAGUGCCGGAGAGGCAGGCGGAAUUCCUAGUGUGGCGGUGAAAUGCGUAGAUAUUAGGAGGAACACCAGUGGCGAAGGCGGCCUGCUGGACGGUGACUGACGCUGAGGCUCGAAAGCGUGGGGAGCAAACAGG
rnacentral:rRNA from 1 species